GGAGCUUGCUCCACUUGGUUUAGCGGCGGACGGGUGAGUAACACGUGGGCAACCUGCCCUGCAGAUCGGGAUAACUCCGGGAAACCGGUGCUAAUACCGAAUAGUUUGCGGCCUCUCCUGAGGCUGCACGGAAAGACGGUUUCGGCUGUCACUGCAGGAUGGGCCCGCGGCGCAUUAGCUAGUUGGUGGGGUAAUGGCCCACCAAGGCGACGAUGCGUAGCCGACCUGAGAGGGUGAUCGGCCACACUGGGACUGAGACACGGCCCAGACUCCUACGGGAGGCAGCAGUAGGGAAUCUUCCGCAAUGGACGAAAGUCUGACGGAGCAACGCCGCGUGAGUGACGAAGGUUUUCGGAUCGUAAAACUCUGUUGUGAGGGAAGAACACGUGCCAAGUAACUACUGGCAUUUUGACGGUACCUCACCAGAAAGCCACGGCUAACUACGUGCCAGCAGCCGCGGUAAUACGUAGGUGGCAAGCGUUGUCCGGAAUUAUUGGGCGUAAAGCGCGCGCAGGCGGUCCUUUAAGUCUGAUGUGAAAGCCCACGGCUC
rnacentral:rRNA from 1 species